GAAAUUUAUGUUUCUUUCUGAGGAAGAGAAAAUAGGCUGCAUGCAUUUGGUCUAAAAUGAAUCUCUAUUGUCUCUAGGUAAAAAUGUCUUCUACAGGCAGGAGCUAAAGCUUUGGUUGCUUGCCUCUUUUUGCCAUAGAUUUGUUUUUUUUUUGCAGAAAAGUGCUGCAAAAACACCAGGCUUUGUAGGUGAGGUUCUGAGAGGACCUACACAAGUUGCCUAGUGAAGCUUUUUCAGAAAUGUCUUUGGCUUGCUGCAACUAACAGAGAAUCCUAUCAAAAUGGCUAGAAACGGAGGAAGCACCUUUCAAUAUUAUUAGGCAGUCGAGGACUGUCUGCUCUUUUCAGUCCUGUGCCACGAGAUUUCCAAGAAUGAUGCCAGGGAGCACCCAAAAGCUUCAUGCCUCCAGGAAAAAGGGAUAUUCAGCUGGCAAUACAAAUUGGACUGAGGUCACCAAAUCCAUUUCACAGAGGUUACCAGGAUGCCAACAGCUUAUAGUAACUUGGUAUUGCUACCAGUCGGGACUGAACUUAAUGUGCAGGCUGACUACUGUGCAACAUCUCACUACUUGGCAUUCUUUGGAGAAUAGAUGUGAAGACUCCUCUGCAUUAACACUGCCCAGGGAAAAGUUCAGCUGCCCAAGGAAAGUUCUGAAGGUCAGAAAAGCUGUGGCAAGGCCGCAUGCAAUGGAUCUUUGCAUACACUACACAUGAUGCAAGUUAAGAUAAGCAAUGACCUGCUUUGUUGUUUCAGGAUUAUUUUACCUGCUUCUUGUAGAAACAAAGAAAAUUUAAAGGAGCAAAACAUUUAAAUUAUUAUCAAGCAUCUUAAGUUACCAUUAAAAGAACCAGGUAGAUAUGACACCACAUAAAAACAGGGCAGGGCAGUUGUUCUUUUAAUGUCUAAUCUGGUUUGUGGGUAGCAAACUCUUCUGCCUAUUCUGAAUUUUUCAGUUUCUUUUUAUUAUUUCAAAGUCUACCUUUAUAGCUCUCAGGCUUACUCUGCACUAUUGAAGCAUCCCACUUGCAACCUCAACCACAGAAGACACAAACCACAUUAGCAGAAAGUGGUUAUUUAUGUUUGCUAUAGAUAAGAUGCUCCCUUUAUCUAUGGAUCCUCCUGUUUCUUUGCCAAAAAAAAUCUGUCAAGUCUGUCAAGUGUGGGCCAACUGUGGGCAAACUUUCUGUGCUUCCUAGUCUGAUUUGAAAAGAUUCUUCUGCAGAUCCCUACCUUCCCAUAACAACAUUUAUUUUAUUCUAUCUUUUGGGGCAUUCCCAUUGACAGCAGUAAAUGACUUUUAAUCUUCAAAUUCAGUCAUUGAUUCUUCAUUCCCACAGCACACUGGACACAUACUUGGACUGGACAUAAGAAAACUUGGUUUAGGGCAGGGUAAGUUAUUACCAUGGCAUUUAGUUAUGUUAUGCAGGUUAAAUGAGCUAAGAACUGACAUGCUGACAGGUCCCACAGGCAGUCUUCAGUGAAGAAUUGCCACCAGAUCUGUGUAUUUCUAUUGUGUGAAACUGGUAUUGGGUUUGACCCUAUUUAAAAUUUGUGUACUCAUCUGUCAGUAAACAAACAAUCAAGACUAAUAAAAUGGGCAAAUAGCACGGAGAUAGGAAAGUG
rnacentral:lncRNA from 1 species